rnacentral:rRNA from 1 species
GAUGAACGCUGGCGGCGUGCCUAAUACAUGCAAGUCGAGCGAACAGAUAAGGAGCUUGCUCCUUUGACGUUAGCGGCGGACGGGUGAGUAACACGUGGGUAACCUACCUAUAAGACUGGAAUAACUCCGGGAAACCGGGGCUAAUGCCGGAUAACAUUUAGAACCGCAUGGUUCUAAAGUGAAAGAUGGUUUUGCUAUCACUUAUAGAUGGACCCGCGCCGUAUUAGCUAGUUGGUAAGGUAACGGCUUACCAAGGCAACGAUACGUAGCCGACCUGAGAGGGUGAUCGGCCACACUGGAACUGAGACACGGUCCAGACUCCUACGGGAGGCAGCAGUAGGGAAUCUUCCGCAAUGGGCGAAAGCCUGACGGAGCAAAGCCGCGUGAGUGAUGAAGGUCUUCGGAUCGUAAAACUCUGUUAUUAGGGAAGAACAAAUGUGUAAGUAACUGUGCACGUCUUGACGGUACCUAAUCAGAAAGCCACGGCUAACUACGUG